GACAGAUUGGUAUCAGAGCUACAGGUUACAGCGAAUUAGGUUUCUAUAGAGAUACCUAGGCUCUAACCUCACUUCCCUCUGGGAACUUAGACUAUUAAGACGUUGAAUACAUACAGAACGCAUAGUACUCGAAUAUGGCCUCCAACCGUUGCCGAAAGACAAACAGUUAAGAUUUUGUUCUUAAACAUACGCCAAAGUGGUGUUUUACACGCGGUGCACAAAACAGUCGCAUACAGUACACAAAACUCUGAGAGUUUAGGAAACAUGCAUUUAAGACCUUCGGAAACUCAUGUAGAAGUUCAUUAAAGGUCACCACGUAGGUACCACGUUUAUUAACUCGAACAAACGUCAUUUUUAUGCCAUCUAUGCUAUUUAGCCGAGCAGGUAACCUACGAAAAACGAAGCACGAGCGUGCAAAAGUACAUGAAAACUCGAUCAACGGAGGUUGAAGUAUGUCACAUACGACUAUCAAGGCGAUGCCUUAGAAAGGACACGAUGGCGCAAUUCAGCAACGACGCUAGCACGAAAACUAUCGAACAGGAAGCGGCGGUUUCGCACGCGGUCCUGCAAAUGACACGAGUCAUGCUAAGGAGAAGACGUAUGUCUCCGCAUUCCCCCUAUCUGAAUCAUGACAAGUACGCUAUGUUUGACAUUCCAUGGUAAUGUCACCUAACAACUGGUUAUCACAUGCAACCCCAGGUAAAGUCCUUAAAUUUCUUUUAUUGAAAUUUCGACUUUCACACUUACUGAGUAGAUUUUCGUAUCUCUACUCCUCUUAAUGGUCAUUGUGUCACAAUCAUUUCUCUCAGUAUAGCGAAUAUUCAUUUGCUUCAUUUCUUGAAAAUUCAUAUGUUACGCAUGCAUCGUUUGUUACGCAUGUGGUUUCGUUUCGAAUAAAGCGUUUCAUUGAAGUUCAAAUAUUGUUUCGCUAAAUCUUAUUAUUGAUUUGUGAUUCAAAUGACCCGCAUUAUUGAAAUUGUUGGCUUCUUUGUUAUCAAGUCAACACACUUUAUUGAAAUUUCUUUUCUUUUCAAGUUACAUACAUGGUUUUCGUUGUAACCAUGCCGAAAGUUUUCUUGUCAAUACAAGUAGUUAUUGUCGGCUUGCGCCGAAGUCAAAUUCAAUUGUUUGAACUUGUUCAUUUCACAUAUUCAAUUCAAGACACCAUAUGAUGUAUUGAAAACAUCAUAUUCAAAUUCGUUUUAACAAUCGUUUCAUUGUUCUGAGUCGUAGUAGAUUUGUUUGGUCUACGACUCCAAUAAGUCGUUUGUUGAUUUCGACACCUUGUGGUGACAUUAUCACUGAAUUGAAGCUUGCGCUAAUCUCAUGCACGGAUUUAAUUAUCUAUUUAUUGAUUUAGAUUAAAUCCGAUUCGGUUUAUUAUUGCGCUUUCAUUUACUUCAAACACGGUGAACUUGUUUGAUCACCGCUAUUAUUGAAUUGUUUCAUUCACUACGACACCUUGUGGCGUCGGUAGAACUUGCAGCUUGGGCUGAUCAUGAUCGAGCGUUUCAUGCAAAACUAUUUCGUUUGGGCUUGUUGAUUCUGAGCCUCUCCUAGCGAAUGUUAUUGUUUCUAACAUUCAUUUGCAUAUUGUAGACGUUCACUUGGAAUUCUAUUGGUUGAAAUUCCUCUUUUAUUGGACCCCUGUUAACUUGGUCACAUUAGUGACUGUAUCAGUAUGUCUGGUUUCCUUUGAAUUACGUAACUCUAGGGAGUUGACGUAGUCUAAAUUUCGAGGACGAAAUUUUAUUAACAGGGGGAGAAUGUGACAACCGGUAAUUUACGCCCUUAAUUACGUGAUUAACAGGCGAUUAACACGAUAAUAAAUAGUGCUUACGAUGCUAAUUAACUUAAACAGGCCCUUGGAGUGCCCAGAAACGUUUGUUCAGCUAUACAGUGCGCGUGUGGUGAUUUACUGAAAAUCUGCUGAAUAUUACGCGACAACGGACUGAUACCGUGCAAAAUACAGACGGCACCGACAUAUAUGGACGUUACACGAAUAUUUUAUGCUCAUGGAGUUUGGGUCGCGAUACCGGGUCUCGUAGAAAUUACGGACCACUUACACAUGAGAUGGGCUUGUGGGCCCUAGGCCCAAGCCCAAAACCCACAAGCCUAAACCUGCAUAUAAUAUAGAUCCUUACUACAAGACUUUCUUGUAAAUCUUACCAAGAUCUCUAUAGAUCUUAUAAAAUCUUGCCAAAAUCUAAACAAAUCUACACAAAGGAUCUUGAUUCAAAGGGGUAAAAUAUAUUACCUGAAUGUAAUGUAAAUACACAAUAGACAUAUAUGACACUUUGAUCUAUAAAUAAAACCCUUUCCUGCCUUUCUUUCUCACUCGAUACACAUGAAACAAAAACACCAAACACACAGACUUUAAGUCUGUCUCUCUCCCCUCUCUCAUUCUAUACAUAUACAAACCUCACACUCUCUCUUUUACUCACAACUUGAACAGCAGACAACAUAAUCCUUCUCAUCCCCCUCUCUCUCGAUCAUAUAUACACUAACAACACACAUUUACAUCUCUCUCACCCUCUGAAGAAUCGGCCAGCAACCACCGUGGCGGUGGCGGCGCGUGGCGGUGCGUGGCAGUUCUCCGAUCAGGCGACCCCCUAUUCUUCUCCCUGUUCUACCGGUUGUACACCUUUUUUUUUCGAACAACAAAACGAGCCACCACCACCAUUGUUCGGUGGUGGUGCGGCGAUAAAGACCGAGACGAGAGAGAGGGAGAGACUGAGAGAAGGAGAUCGAGAAGAGAGAGAGGGAGAACCAGCGGAGGUGGUGGUGACCGGUGGUCCCCGUCUCGGACCGGUGGUCCUUUACUCGGACCGGUGGUCGACACUUUUAUCCAGCGACUACAAAUCGGGAGGAGAGAGAGAGGAACGAGAUGAGGAGAGAGAGAGCGACGGAACGACAAAGAACCACCGGCGGCGGUGGCGGCGCCUGUGACGGUGAUGGUGUCUCCGACAAGGUCCGUUCUAAUUCGGGUUGUAUACCGGCUCGAGUAUGUGUUCUGGAGCUUCGAUUCAGGCGGGUUGGUCGUCUCAGCUUUGGUUCCAGUUGACUCGGUCAAACUCGGGUCAACACCGAGUCAACUCAGUCAACCGAGUCAACAGUGGUCAACAGCAGGUUCGGGUCAACAGUUUGGUGCGGUCAGCUGUGGUCAACGGCUUUGGUUCGGGUCAAGCGGCUUGGUCAGACUCAGCUUCGGAUUUGGUUGACUCGGUCAAACCGAGUCAACUCGGUCAACCUGGUCAACUCAGGGUGUCGACUCAGUCAACUCAGUUGACCCGGUCAAAUCAGUCAACCGUUUUGGCGUUUCGACAUUAGAAAUUGGUAAAGAUUUAGCGGCGCGAUUACUUCGUUAUUUUUUUUUUAUAUAUCGUGAUAACGAGCUCGAACCAAUUGAUUAUGAUUUACGUUUGAUACAUAUUUGAAAAAAAUUGCAUAUAGUA